AUGAACGCUGGCGGCGGCCUAAACAUGCAAGUCGAACGGUAACAUUUCUAGCUUGCUAGAAGAUGACGAGUGGCGGACGGGUGAGUAAUGCUUGGGAACUUGCCUUUGCGAGGGGGAUAACAGUUGGAAACGACUGCUAAUACCGCAUAAUGUCUUCGGACCAAACGGGGCUUAGGCUCCGGCGCAAAGAGAGGCCCAAGUGAGAUUAGCUAGCUGGUAAGGUAACGGCUUACCAAGGCGACGAUCUCUAGCUGUUCUGAGAGGAAGAUCAGCCACACUGGGACUGAGACACGGCCCAGACUCCUACGGGAGGCAGCAGUGGGGAAUAUUGCACAAUGGGGGAAACCCUGAUGCAGCCAUGCCGCGUGUGUGAAGAAGGCCUUCGGGUUGUAAAGCACUUUCAGUUGUGAGGAAAAGUUAGUAGUUAAUACCUGCUAGCCGUGACGNUUAUAACAGAAGAAGCACCGGCUAACUCCGUGCCAGCAGCCGCGGUA
rnacentral:rRNA from 1 species